rfam:Edhazardia aedis TSNM 41457 supercont1.19, whole genome shotgun sequence.
GGCUAUUUAGUGUAGUGGUUAUCACACAAGACUCUGACUCUUGUGACCGGGGUUCGAGUCCCCGAAUAGCCU